rnacentral:rRNA from 1 species
AUGCCGCCGUGUCGGCCAUCGCACGGGUCUCCAGGGUGGAUAAGAGCACCCAGUUCCCUCCUCGAUCAAACCCUAGCCCCCUCUCGUCUAGUUCCCCUCGACCCCCUUCAUCCGGCUCGAUUUGGAGCUCAAGAGCUCCACGGUGACCACUACCUCGUCAUUGCUGCCGCGGCCGUCAUCGUCGCCGUCGCGGGAGAAGGCGUCCAGGAGCUCUGCCGGCCUCGUCCACGUCGACUGCAAGCGCCAGAUCAAGCUCAUCAUCCCUACACCGAGCGGAUCGAGCUCGCCUUCAUCCUCUGCCCCACCGAACGUUACUAUUCGAUUCGUCGCCACCGAUCCCUCCCCGAGCCCGCUACGCACCUCUGCAGGCGCACAAGUAACCGGAGUGCGAAGCCUGCUACUAUGAGUCUCUAG